GUAGGUGGCAAGCGUUGUCCGGAAUUAUUGGGCGUAAAGCGCGCGCAGGCGGUUCUUUAAGUCUGAUGUGAAAGCCCACGGCUCAACCGUGGAGGGUCAUUGGAAACUGGAGAACUUGAGUACAGAAGAGGAAAGCGGAAUUCCACGUGUAGCGGUGAAAUGCGUAGAGAUGUGGAGGAACACCAGUGGCGAAGGCGGCUUUCUGGUCUGUAACUGACGCUGAGGCGCGAAAGCGUGGGGAGCAAACAGGGAUUAGAUACCCUGGUAGUCCACGCCGUAAACGAUGAGUGCUAAGUGUUAGGGGGGUUUUCCGCCCCCUUAGUGCUGCAGCUAACGCAUUAAGAACUCCGCCUGGGGAGUACGGCCGCAAGGCUG
rnacentral:rRNA from 1 species